ACCUGAACAAAUAAUGCCCAAUAGUAGUAAUUGUAGGGCGGGUCUUGGCGCUACCAUAGUGGGAGUCGUAAUUUUGCUGGAGGGUGAGAAGUGUCCGUUGGUCACUGCUGUUGCACGUGUUGGCUUUUACCCCUGCCACGCUGAAAAGGAUGGAGAAAAACAAAGUGCCGGCAAAAAAGAGGCUACGAGUUCCCACUCAGAAAAUGAAGGACCUGAGCACCCCUCCCCCAAAUGAGCAAUCUGGAUGUGUUGCAUUCGUCAGAUGGGAGGAUGGUUAUACCGGCAAAAUCUUUAAAGGAUCUGACAUUUUGGCAAGGGAUGAGGCUCCUGUGCAGCUGCAAGAUCUUAGAUCAGGAGAUCCUGUU